GAGGCUGUAGCUCAGUGGUAGAGUGCUUGCCUAGUGAGCAUGAGGCCCUGGGUUCAAUCCCCAGUACUGACUCA
rnacentral:tRNA from 1 species